GGUUAGUUGUAUGUUGAUAGGACUAUGUAUUGGCAGGCUAGAGUGACAGAAGCUUCAAACCUAGCAUUGAAAUUAAUGCAUAUGGGAUUGAAGGGGGACCAAUAUAUCUUAUUUCUAUGGUUGGGUUUUACCUUAAUGAAUGUUAGUAGUUGCGGACGCUUGCUAAUAGUUCCAAUCAUAAGUGCAUAGAAUUCCAAGUAAGGGAUGGCAUGCUAGCAGAGGCCUCUCCCACAUGAUACUUGCUAUCGAUCUAGUAACGUAGUCAAUUGCUUAGGGAAAAUUCCGCAACUCCUACCACCACUUUUCCUCACUCGUUAGACACUCGUAGUUGUUUCUUUAUCUAACCAGCCCCUAGUUUUAUUUACAUGUUCUUUACUUUCUUGCAAGCCUAUCCUAUCACUCCUACAAAGUACUUCUAGUUUCAUACUUGUUCUAGGUAAAGCGAACGUAAAGUGUGCGUAGAGUUGUAUCGGUGGUCGAUAGAACUUGAGGGAAUAUUUGUC
rnacentral:lncRNA from 1 species